rnacentral:rRNA from 1 species
UACGUAGGGGGCAAGCGUUGUCCGGAAUCAUUGGGCGUAAAGCGCGUGUAGGCGGCCAAGUAAGUCCGUUCUGAAAGCCCGGGGCUCAACCCCGGGAGGCGGAUGGAUACUGCUUGGCUCGAGUCCGGAAGAGGCGAGUGGAAUUCCCGGUGUAGCGGUGAAAUGCGCAGAUAUCGGGAGGAACACCAAUGGCGAAGGCAGCUCGCUGGGACGGUACUGACGCUGAGACGCGAAAGCGUGGGGAGCAAACAGG